rnacentral:rRNA from 1 species
GGGGGUUUCCGCCCCUUAGUGCUGCAGCUAACGCAUUAAGCACUCCGCCUGGGGAGUACGGUCGCAAGACUGAAACUCAAAGGAAUUGACGGGGGCCCGCACAAGCGGUGGAGCAUGUGGUUUAAUUCGAAGCAACGCGAAGAACCUUACCAGGUCUUGACAUCCCGUUGACCACUGUAGAGAUAUAGUUUCCCCUUCGGGGGCAACGGUGACAGGUGGUGCAUGGUUGUCGUCAGCUCGUGUCGUGAGAUGUUGGGUUAAGUCCCGCAACGAGCGCAACCCUUGAUCUUAGUUGCCAUCAUUUAGUUGGGCACUCUAAGGUGACUGCCGGUGACAAACCGGAGGAAGGUGGGGAUGACGUCAAAUCAUCAUGCCCCUUAUGACCUGGGCUACACACGUGCUAC